rnacentral:rRNA from 1 species
GACGAACGCUGGCGGCGUGCUUAACACAUGCAAGUCGAACGGAAAGGCCCUGCUUGCAGGGUACUCGAGUGGCGAACGGGUGAGUAACACGUGGGUGAUCUGCCCUGCACUUCGGGAUAAGCCUGGGAAACUGGGUCUAAUACCGGAUAGGAGCCAUUAUUAGUGUGAUGGUUGGAAAGUUUUUUCGGUGUAGGAUGAGCUCGCGGCCUAUCAGCUUGUUGGUGGGGUAAUGGCCUACCAAGGCGGCGACGGGUAGCCGGCCGGAGAGGGUGGACGGCCACAUUGGGACUGAGAGACAGCCCAGACUCCUACGGGAGGCAGCAGUGGGGAAGAUAGCACAAGGGGCGCGAGCCUGAUGCAGGGACGCCGCGUGGGGGAUGACGGACUUCGGGUUGUAAGCUCACUUCGCUAGGGACGAAGCAUUUUGUGACGGUACCUAGAUAAGAAGCACCGGCUAACUACGUG